rnacentral:lncRNA from 1 species
AUCUGCAUGCGCGCCGAAUGUUUACAAAGUCCGUUAGUAUUUUUGGUGUCUCUCGGUGAUACUGUUACACAUUAGAACAACUGAAUAAAAUCUCCUUUCAAUUAACUAUCGAUAUAUCUGGUGUUUUACGUAAGACUGAGUCCCAAUAUUAUUGCACAUUCGGUAGCAAAGAUGUUGACACCACAUGUCGUCUGAUGAUGACUUUUACGGGAUGGAAUAAGGUUUGGUCAUUGUAUUCCCUGAAAGGAAUGAGAGGAGAAAAGUAACUGGAAGACCUGGCUAUCUGCAGGCCAAUGCUGGCUGCAGGUCAAUAUUGAAUGCUCUUAUGAAAACUCAUGACAGUAACAAAAAAAAGAAGCUGAGGAUGCUGUUUUUAAAACAUGCUCCAUUCAAAAAAGGUGGAUUGAAAUUUAAGAAAGGUGUGACGGGUGCGUCUGCUGCAGGCAGGGAGGAUUUGACGGUCAGCCAGAGGAUUUGGAGAUAUACUGUAAUGUCUUUAAUGUGGACUUGCGUGUGAUUUAAGUUUUCACAAGGGUUUUAGUGUGUGUGAAAGAAUGUCAGUUUUCGAAAUUGAGCUAUGUCAAUUUGCUCAAACUACAUAACUUAAAGAACUUUGAAGCGGUCUUGUUGACGUCAUGAGCUUUUGUUUAAUACCAGUAUUGGUGAUAUAGGCCCAUGAUUAUAUACUGUAGAAAGUGAACAAGUUCACUGCUCGAUACAGAUAGUCAUAUAGCCUGAUCUCUGAAUGAUAUUUAUGAACCAAAAGAAGGCAUAAAAUAAAAACAUACAGUAGUGAUUUGAAUUAUUAAUAUUGUUAAACUAGAUCUGGGCCAGUAUUCAUAAAGGAUCUUAUUAAAAAAAAUUAUCUAGAACUUAAUAUUCUUUGAACAAUCAAGUCAAAAACUUUUCACGCUCUUUAAAUAUUUCACAGCAUGACUCCAAACUUGUAUAUUAUACCAAAGAAAAAUAGAUUGGCAACUUGAAAGGCGUAUAGAGCAAAUCUCGCCAACAUCACAUGGCAACUGAAUGAGGUCUCCUUUUAGUAAGCAUAUUUGAUCACAAUUGAUCAAGUCAGCAAACGCUUUGAAA